rnacentral:lncRNA from 1 species
UCUCGAAUAAUAUAAUUUAUUUUAAUUAUAAAAGGGUAUUUUUGCAAUUUCUCUAACCAAAUUAGUUUUCGAUUGACUCGUAACACUAAAUCAGUCAAAAACUUUAUUUUAAAAGUAAAUGGCUUAUUAUUAAAACUAUAAAAAAAAAAAAAAAGAAAAAUAAAAACAGCCAACACUAAAUUAAGUGAGAAUUAUAAAAACAGC